rnacentral:misc_RNA from 1 species
UCCGGUUUGUCACCGGCAGUCUCAUUAGAGUGCCCAACUGAAUGUAGCAACUAAUGACAAGGGUUGCGCUCGUUGCGGGACUUAACCCAACAUCUCACGACACGAGCUGACGACAGCCAUGCAGCACCUGUGUUACGGCUCUCUUUCGAGCACCCCCACCUCUCAGCAGGGUUCCGUACAUGUCAAGGGUAGGUAAGGUUUUUCGCGUUGCAUCGAAUUAAUCCACAUCAUCCACCGCUUGUGCGGGUCCCCGUCAAUUCCUUUGAGUUUUAAUCUUGCGACCGUACUCCCCAGGCGGUCGACUUCACGCGUUAGCUGCGGUACUCAAUGAGUCUCCUCACCGAACACCUAGUCGACAUCGUUUAGGGCGUGGACUAC